UACGUAGGGGGCAAGCGUUGUCCGGAAUCAUUGGGCGUAAAGCGCACGUAGGCGGCUUGCCAAGUCGGACGUGAAAUCCCUCAGCUCAACUGAGGACGUGCAUCCGAAACUGGCGAGCUUGAGUACUGAAGAGGAUCGCGGAAUUCCCGGUGUAGAGGUGAAAUUCGUAGAUAUCAGGAGGAACACCUGUGGUGUAGACAGCUUACUGGACCACUUCUGACGCUGAGACACGAAAGCGUGGGUAGCAAACAGG
rnacentral:rRNA from 1 species